rnacentral:lncRNA from 1 species
UUCAUAAUUAGUAAAGAACCCUGACAUGAUUCUUAAUAGUAUGUAAUGAUGGUACUUUUAAUUACCUUUGAAAUCUUAUGGUGUUAUUUAAAUACUAUUUUCUUUAUUGAGUAUAUGGAACUCACUCCUUUCCAUGUCCCCCUCCAGAUGAGGAAGAUAGUGAGGAACUAAUCACUUCCUUACCCUGUGAAGCCUUUGAGGAUUUCAUGAAUCCAUCAUCCUUUAUGAGUGUAUAAUUGUCUUGCACUCUAAUGAGUCCAUCUUUUAUAGAAGCUUGUAAUAAAUUUUGUUUUCUGCAUGAGUAUUGUAUGAAACUCUAUUAUUAUUUUGUAAGGGAUAGUAAUUAUUUGUUCCAGCAUAUAUUUAUCUAUUAGGCACUCGUAAUUUAUUUUUAUAUUUGGCACCCUUAUGCUUUAAUUUGCAUUUGGGAUGUAAAAAUUCCUGUGAGCUAUUUUCCUGCAAGGCUUACCUGUGGUGCUUUUUCUCGUCAUUUUUUUGUUU